rnacentral:rRNA from 1 species
UCGGGAAUAUUGCGCAAUGGAGGAAACUCUGACGCAGUGACGCCGCGUGCAGGAAGAAGGUUUUCGGAUUGUAAACUGCUUUAGACAGGGAAGAAAAAAGACAGUACCUGUAGAAUAAGCUCCGGCUAACUACGUGCCAGCAGCCGCGGUAAUACGUAGGGAGCAAGCGUUAUCCGGAUUUAUUGGGUGUAAAGGGUGCGUAGACGGGAAAACAAGUUAGUUGUGAAAUCCCUCGGCUUAACUGAGGAACUGCAACUAAAACUAUUUUUCUUGAGUGCUGGAGAGGAAAGUGGAAUUCCUAGUGUAGCGGUGAAAUGCGUAGAUAUUAGGAGGAACACCAGUGGCGAAGGCGACUUUCUGGACAGUAACUGACGUUGAGGCACGAAAGUGUGGGGAGCAAACAGGAUUAGAUACC